UGUGUAAUCCCUCCGUUCCAAAAUACUUGACUUCCAUUUGUCCAAAAAUGGAUGUACCUAUAUACUAAAACAUGUCUAGAUACAUAUAUAUUUUGACAAAUAGAAGGCAUGUAUUGUGCAACGGAGGGAGUAGAAU
rnacentral:pre_miRNA from 1 species